UUAUUUGGAAUUUCAGAAUGUUAAGUCUAAUUUAUGAUGAUAUGAACUGGUGGUGAAUAGUUGGAGUUCUGAUUGUAUAAUUUAUUUAGCUUGUGGAUUUAUAAAUGUUAUUCAUGUUUGUCAAGUUGGCUUGGGUUGCCAUAAAUGUGAAUUAUCGAGUGAUGUGAUAUAUGAUUAUAAACUGCACAGGUUUUAUAGAUGUGAAUUUGAUAGAAUGUUUUUCAAUGUCCUCAAAUGUGUGUUUGGAUCCUGGAUUGGUUUGU
rnacentral:lncRNA from 1 species